UACGUAGGGUGCGAGCGUUAAUCGGAAUUACUGGGCGUAAAGCGUGCGCAGGCGGUUCGUUAAGUCAGAUGUGAAAUCCCCGGGCUCAACCUGGGAACUGCAUUUGUGACUGCAUAGCUAGAGUACGGUAGAGGGGGGAUGGAAUUCCGCGUGUAGCAGUGAAAUGCGUAGAUAUGCGGAGGAACACCGAUGGCGAAGGCAAUCCCCUGGACCUGUACUGACGCUCAUGCACGAAAGCGUGGGGAGCAAACAGG
rnacentral:rRNA from 1 species